UUUGCGGAGGCGAAAACAUAAACAAGCUGAUUCAGAUUAAAGAACACUUUGUCAAAAUAUCUAAAUCCACACAAGCCAGGCUGAACUGAAAUAUCCAUGGGAAUAUGAUGACUGCUGCCCCAUGAGAUACCUGCCUAAAUGCUUGACAAGAGAGGCACUUUGAUGAUGAAUCUGUUUCAGUGUCUGGGGCAAUUAUAUGAAGACGAAAUGAUAACCUAUAGGGAUGAUGUUCGAUAAGACUGCAAUGUUCUAUCAGACCAGCAGAUGGAGUCUUCAAAGCUCUGCACUUCUAAGGGAGGAGUUUUUCAACCCUUUAUUUGGGAUGUGUGUGACAGCGCUUAGAAGAACCUUCCAUGGAAAUACAUUCUGCCUCCUAGUGAGCCCCCACCCUGUGAGCCUGCAUCUCAUAACAUGAAGAAAAAAUGAGGGUUUAAGGCUCAUUACAAUACAUUUAACUGUGUUAUUGUAGCUGCCAGGGGGAAAGUGCAUUGCUUCACUCUUGUAGUCUAAACUUUAGUUAUUGAGAGUACAUUGAUUAUGAUUUUCAAUUUUGUUCUGGGAUGGUGAUAGAGUUAUAUUAUAACUGCAUAUGAUGUAAUGCUCGCUUGUGGAUUAAACACUGAUGAAGGACAGUGAAAGCAUAUCAUCUAUAAGCACUAUCAGUCAGUUCAGAAAAAUUCAAUAAAAUUAUGGUUUGGGAUGUCUUAUAAUAAUCACAAUUUAGAAUAAAUCAAGACAUUUUGUGUAUGUUGACUGUCUACCAUAUUUAUGAUUCAAGAUCUUAAUCAUAAACUAUUUUCAUUAUCCCUUUUCCUUAUACUAUUUAAGUAUAUCACCGAAAAUCCUUCACAUUUUUGGAAAGUCCCAGGACUGCCAAUCUAGUUUUAAAAAUUCUGAAACCUUCUUAGGCUAUGUUUUUCCACUGAGGUAUUAUGAAUAAUGUUGUUAAAUUUCUGGCUAGUAACUUGGGGAAAGGGAUAUAGAUACAGAGAGAUUACAUUAAAUUAAAGGAAAUUAAGAAAAAAAUACAACAAAUGAACUAAGCAACUGGCUUGUGCAUAUAAAUUAUUUAGUUAUACAUUUUUUUUUAUAGAAAUUACUUAAGUGACUCCAAAAGAGAAAUUUGGAGAGCAAAAAGGUAGGGCUACCUAUAAGGGAUUUGCCUGCCCAAGCAUCUGACCUUAACCCUAUUGAGCUGCUUUAAAACGAGUCCGAUUGAAAGAUGGAAGGCAAAGACAAAGAUCUGUGGCAUCCGGUGCCAUAAACCUUUGGGAUGUUCAAGAGACAGCAUAGAUCAUAUUUUUACAUGCUUGGAAAAACUGACUUCAUAAAUAAACAGCGAAAUAUUCUCACACUUUCGACAGUCUGUAAACCUCAUAUGACAUAUAUGUACACAACCUAAAUGACAUAUAUGUACACAUUUGAGACACCAUUCUGGUCUAGAAAGAUUUUCAAUGGCAUUAGGAUUAAGAAGUGGCCAUGAAACCACUUCAGAUCGUAACAGCACCUUCACUUGCCCUAAAUGCCAUAUUGCUUAAGUCAAAGUGGGUUGAAGUCAGGUUUGUUGUAUUCUUGACUUCCCUGUUCUUUAUUCAUUGCAUGCAUAUAGAGUCAAUACACUGUGAUACAACCCCAGGAAUCAUAAUUACAUUAGUUGGAAAAGAUGUUGGGGGUAAGUGUUUGUAAGGGAGGGGGUUCAUCCUAUUUUGUAAAAAUGCUGAAACUCCAGGAGGUCCGACAGCCAAUUAAAUAAGCACCAAUCCAGCUCCUCCCUACCCCCAUGGAUCCUGUGCUCUCAAACUCUUGGUCCCACCCCUAUUCAAUACUCAUUCCUCACUGAGAGUGUGAAAGAGCAGAAGAGAGGGAGGGAGAGCUUUUCCAUGAAAUCUCCUGUGUCUCUGUCUGCUAGUCAUAGCCAUGGGCCACUGGAGGUAGAGCAACCAGACCAAAGAGCAGAGGAAGGGGGUUGAGACUUCAGAUAUGCCCAGUAGCCUACAUGUCAGUGGGGUAUUGUCUGCUGAGAGUCCACAGAGCCCAGUUUAGCCCAGAGCCCCUCAAAUCACAGGCCUGGCCAUCUACCUCACCAGCUGUUAAUGAGAAGAUGAUUAUUAUAAUUUUUUUUUUAUCACAAUUAUAUCAGCAUGACAGAAUUAUUGCAAUGCCUUGCUAAAAUAUUGUAAAUGUUUUGUGAUACAUUUACAUUUUAUCAAUGUUAACACAAUUAUGUUUAUAUGUCUUUCUAAAUAAAUAGCCAUGAUCAAGAAUUAAUGAUGCUCUCAGGCAAUCU